CCUACGGGGGGCAGCAGUGGGGAAUAUUGGACAAUGGGCGAAAGCCUGAUCCAGCCAUGCCGCGUGUGUGAAGAAGGCCUUCGGGUUGUAAAGCACUUUCAGUGGGGAAGAAAGCCUUGGGGCUAAUACCCUCGAGGAAGGACAUCACCCACAGAAGAAGCACCGGCUAACUCCGUGCCAGCAGCCGCGGUAAUACGGAGGGUGCGAGCGUUAAUCGGAAUUACUGGGCGUAAAGCGCGCGUAGGCGGUCUGAUAAGCCGGUUGUGAAAGCCCCGGGCUCAACCUGGGAACGGCAUCCGGAACUGUCAGGCUAGAGUGCAGGAGAGGAAGGUAGAAUUCCCGGUGUAGCGGUGAAAUGCGUAGAGAUCGGGAGGAAUACCAGUGGCGAAGGCGGCCUUCUGGACUGACACUGACGCUGAGGUGCGAAAGCGCGGGUAGCAAACAGGAUUAGAUACCCCGGUAGUC
rnacentral:rRNA from 1 species